AAAAAAUUGACCAAUUUUAAUUCAUAAUUUCCUCUGGCCAAAGAAUGCAGAAUCAAAGGGUUGGCAGAUAAUUAGCUGGCAGAAUUUGAUCAAAGCCAAAAUCACAUGACGGUCUUGGUUUACAAGAUAUGUGGCUUGCCAAUAUUAAGCUUCUCGAAAAUUUAGUUUGGCAUAUGAUACACACCCUAGACAAGGCCAGGGUCCAGGACUCCAGGUACUUUCACAUAAAUAUGCUAGCAAUAGAUCUAUCUUGACGACCACA
rnacentral:lncRNA from 1 species